CUCAUUGAACUCGCCUGCAGCUCUUGGGUUUUUUGUGGCUUCCUUCGUUAUUGGAGCCAGGCCUACACCCCAGGUUUAUGAAGGCGAGCGUGCCAUGACAAAGGAUAACAACCUGCUUGGCAAGUUUGAACUCACAGGCAUGCCAGGAGGAAUGCCUGGGGGAUUUCCUGGUGGUGGAGCUCCUCCCUCUGGUGGUGCUUCCUCAGGGCCCACCAUUGAAGAGGUUGAUUAAGCCAACCAAGUGUAGAUGUAGCAUUGUUCCACACAUUUAAAACAUUUGAAGGACCUAAAUUCGUAGCAAAUUCUGUGGCAGUUUUAAAAAGUUAAGCUGCUAUAGUAAGUUACUGGGCAUUCUCAAUACUUGAAUAUGGAACAUAUGCACAGGGGAAGGAAAUAACAUUGCACUUUAUAAACACUGUAUUGUAAGUGGAAAAUGCAAUGUCUUAAAUAAAACUAUUUAAAAUUGGCACCAU
rnacentral:lncRNA from 1 species